rnacentral:lncRNA from 1 species
AAAAAAGCCCUCUAUAAUUCUAUAUACUAUAUCAAUAUUUUCUUAAUAUUUUUAGAUUGAACUGAAUUCCUACUACAAAUUAUGCCAGAAAGUACACUGAAAUGUUAAAACAGAAUAAGAACUAUAAACUUCAUUUUCCCUGAUUAGGUACUCCAAAAAACACAGAUUAGUUUUAAACUACUGGUACAUUAAGCAAGAUAAGAAAAAAAAUAAAAUUUAAGUAAUGCAAGAUUUCAUAACCUAUAAAAACUUUGGUGCCAUUCAAAGAAUUGCAUGUCGAGGGCACUAUUAUUUCCUGAUGACAUAAUUUAUAAUACAUUAAAAAAAAUACAGUUU